rnacentral:sRNA from 1 species
AGUACCCUGAUCCCAGGUGCAGAGGCUGGAGCCCAGGCCUGUAUGAGUGCCAGGGCCGGUUUCUUGGGGUCCUCGGUGCACCGGGGCAAUGAAGAGAGGGAUGAGGACGGGGACUUGGUUGCCUUUUCCAGUGACGAGGAAUUGACAAUGGCCAUGUCCUACGUGAAGGAUGACAUCUUCCGAAUCUACAUUAAAGAGAAAAAAGAGUGCCGGCGGGACCACCGCCCACCGUGUGCUCAGGAGGCGCCCCGCAACAUGGUGCACCCCAAUGUGAUCUGUGAUGGCUGCAAUGGGCCUGUGGUGGGAACCCGCUACAAGUGCAGCGUCUGCCCAGACUACGACUUGUGUAGCGUCUGCGAGGGAAAGGGCUUGCACCGGGGGCACACCAAGCUCGCGUUCCCCAGCCCCUUCGGGCACCUGUCUGAGGGCUUCUCGCACAGCCGCUGGCUCCGGAAGGUGAAACACGGACACUUCGGGUGGCCAGGAUGGGAAAUGGGUCCACCAGGAAACUGGAGCCCACGUCCUCCUCGUG